rnacentral:rRNA from 1 species
UGGGGAAUUUUGGACAAUGGGCGCAAGCCUGAUCCAGCAAUGCCGCGUGCAGGAUGAAGGCCUUCGGGUUGUAAACUUCCUUUGUACGGAGCGAAAAGGUCUGCCCUAAUACGGUGGGCUCAUGACGGUACCGUAAGAAUAAGCACCGGCUAACUACGUGCCAGCAGCCGCGUUAAUACGUAGGGUGCGAGCGUUAAUCGGAAUUACUGGGCGUAUAGCGUGCGCAGGCGGCUAUAUAAGACAGUUGUGAAAUCCCCGGGCUCAACCUGGGACCUGCAUUUGUGACUGUAGAGCUAGAGUACGGUAGAGGGGGGUGGAAUUCCGCGUGUAGCAGUGAAAUGCGUAGAUAUGAGGAGGAACACCGAUGGCGAAGGCAGUCCACUGGACCUGUACUGACGCUGAUGCACGAAAGCGUGGGGAGCAAACA